rnacentral:rRNA from 1 species
UACGUAGGUGGCAAGCGUUGUCCGGAAUUAUUGGGCGUAAAGCGCGCGCAGGCGGUUUCUUAAGUCUGAUGUGAAAGCCCCCGGCUUAACCGGGGAGGGUCAUUGGAAACUGGGAGACUUGAGUGCAGAAGAGGAAAGUGGAAUUCCAAGUGUAGCGGUGAAAUGCGUAGAGAUUUGGAGGAACACCGGUGGCGAAGGCGGCUAUCUGGAUGAGUAUUGACACUGAGGCUCGAAAGCGUGGGGAUCAAACAGG